rnacentral:ribozyme from 1 species
CAUCAAAACAUAAGAAAACAGUUAUGAUGUGUGUGUGUGUGUAACAAGAAGCCAAAAGCAAACUAAUAUAAAAGACACACGGUUUGUUGCUUUUAUUUUUUUACCAGAAGAAAAUGAAAAAAAAAAAGAAGAAAAAAAAUGACUUGCGUGGUU